UACGGAGGGGCUAGCGUUGUUCGGAAUUACUGGGCGUAAAGCGCGCGUAGGCGGACCUGCAAGUCGGGGGUGAAAGCCCGAGGCUCAACCUCGGAACUGCCUUCGAUACUGCGGGUCUCGAGUCCGGAAGAGGAGAGUGGAAUUCCUGGUGUAGCGGUGAAAUGCGCAGAUAUCAGGAAGAACACCCGUGGCUAAGGCGGCUCUCUAGUACGGUACUGACGCUGAGACGCGAAAGCGUGGGGAGCGAACAGG
rnacentral:rRNA from 1 species